GCCUCAACCCCAAGUACGCUCGACCUCAAGCUAAACUGGCCUGCAAACUGGGCAUUUAAAACCGAAGGGCCCAGGGGAAAACAUUUAAAAUCCGUUAGAGUGAGUGGACGAAAAAUAAGUAAUUUCAAAUGAAUAAGUAAAACUUAAUGCUUUCCCAAGUUAUUCUCUAAAACCUCGCAUGCAGUAACAAUCUUGAAAACACUCUUAAUCAUCCUCUUUACUGAAAUCUCAAUCACGUAACAAGAACAUCUUGAAAUCUCUUAAAAUCUCAUCCUCAAUCCUUAUAAAAACAUCCUUUUCAUGAGGCUCGUUUGAUGACUAGAAAGGACUGCUGUCUAGUCAUCUCAUGCCAUCUAGGAGGGACUGCCACCCAGAUGACGCAUCGGAAGGGACUGCCAACCGGGAUAGGAGGCGGUGGAUAGAUGGGACUGCCAACUAGCCACAUGUAGUAGACGGGACUGCCGACUAACCACAGGUAGUAGACGGGACUGCCGACUAGCUACCUCAUGUCAUCUGGAAGGGACUGCCAACCAGGUGACGCAUCGGAUGGGACUGCCAACCGAGCUGUAGUCUGGAAGGGACUGCCAACCAGACUAUUACCUAGAAGGGACUGCCAACUAGGUAAGAUACGCAUGCGC
rnacentral:lncRNA from 1 species